CCUACGGGUGGCAGCAGUGAGGAAUAUUGGUCAAUGGGCGCGAGCCUGAACCAGCCAAGUAGCGUGAAGGAUGACUGCCCUACGGGUUGUAAACUUCUUUUAUAAAGGAAUAAAGUGAGGCACGUGUGCCUUUUUGUAUGUACUUUAUGAAUAAGGUUCGGCUAACUCCGUGCCAUCAGCCGCGGUAAUACGGAGGAUCCGAGCGUUAUCCGGAUUUAUUGGGUUUAAAGGGAGCGUAGAUGGGUUGUUAAGUCAGUUGUGAAAGUUUGCGGCUCAACCGUAAAAUUGCAAUUGAUACUGGCAGUCUUGAGUACAGUUGAGGUAGGCGGAAUUCGUGGUGUAGCGGUGAAAUGCUUAGAUAUAACGAAGAACUCCGAUUGCGAAGGCAGCUUACUAAACUGCCACUGACAUUGAUGUUCGAAAGUGUGGGUAUCAAACAGGAUUAGAUACCCCUGUAGUC
rnacentral:rRNA from 1 species